rnacentral:lncRNA from 1 species
GAGUGUUAAAAGGCCAGCAGGAAUUAUUCACUAGAGAAGCGGAAGGGAGAGAAUGGAAAUGGCCGCAUGCAGCUCCUCUCCCUCAGACAGCUCGGGGCUCAGCGGAAUGAGCACAGUCUGCAGGACAAGUGCGGAGGACUUCAGUCCCCUCUACUGUAUAUUGGCUUUAGGACUCAAGUUGUCCCUGAAAUAGAGGAAGGUGUUUUUUAGGUUAGCGGUAAUUAUCACAGUCAAAAAAGUAGGCGAGAGCACUUAGGAAAACUGUGCGGAGAUCGGCUGCUGAUGUGUAAAUACUGCUGAAACUGCUUAUUCAAGAUUAGAAAACCUGAGACCCAGACGGGGGAAACUGCUUUCCAUGGUUAAUCGGCAACAACUGGCCAGGAUGGGACAGAAGCCCAUACAUAGCCUUCAUUCCAGGGCCCAGAACAAAAAGAAGGCAGUGGCCUGGGCUGCACCUGAGCUUGGCUUCACAUAGGAGGGAUUCUGGAACGCAGGAUCCUGACAACGACCUCAAGCCCCUGUAAAGCAACACAUUUUUUGGCAAGAAUGCCUGGGACAGAGAAAGAAUUUCUUCUCACUGAUUAUUGAGAAUGUUCUCAUAUCUUACAAGGCUCACUGCCCAGUAGAAGCUGAAAAGAUUCAGUACGAGUAAAAGAAGAGAUCUGAAAUUUGCAGCCUGUCAUAGAAAG